rnacentral:misc_RNA from 1 species
GAUGAAGAACGUAGUGAAAUGCGAUAAGUAGUGUGAAUUGCAGAAUUCAGUGAAUCAUCGAAUCUUUGAACGCACAUUGCGCCCCUUGGUAUCCCGAGGGGCAUGCCUGUUCGAGCGUCAUUUCACCACUCAAGCCUGGCUUGGUGUUGGGCGACGUCCUCUUUGGGGACGCGCCUCGAAACGCUCGGCGGCGUGGCACCGGCUUUAAGCGUAGCAGAAUCUUUCGCUUUGGAAGUCGGGGCCCCGUCUGCCGGAAGACCUGCUCGCAAGGUUGACCUCGGAUCAGGCAGGGAUACCCGCUGAACUUAAGCAUAUCAUAAGCGGAGGA